GAUGAACGCUGGCGGCGUGCCUAACACAUGCAAGUCGAACGAAGAGCGAUGGAAGUUUGCUUCUAUCAAUCUUAGUGGCGCACGGGUGAGUAACGCGUAAUCCACCUGCCCUUCAGUGGGGGACAACAGUUGGAAACGACUGCUAAUACCGCAUACGAUCUAAUCUCGGCAUCGAGGAUAGAUGAAAGGUUGCGCCGACACGUAAGCUAUCACUGAAGGCGGGGAUUGCGUCUGAUUAGCUAGGUGGGGGGGAAACGGCCCACCAAGGGGGUGAAUAGUAGCCGGUCUGGAGAGGUGGACGGCCAACUUGGGACUGGGACACGGGCCAAGCUCCUACGGGGAGGAGCAAUGGGGGAACUUCCGCCAUGGGCGGAAGGCUGGCGGGAGAACGCCGGCUGGGUGGUGGAAGGCCUCCGGUUGUUAAACUCUGUUAAUCGGGGCGGAAGGCCUUUUUGCGAAUAGUGAGACGGAUUGACGGUACCGGAAUAGAAAGCCACGGCUAACUACGUG
rnacentral:rRNA from 1 species